UACAAGUUAGCAUAUUAGUGCGUUGAGCUUAGAAUUCAGAGAAGAAAAAAUUUUUCACUUGUAA
rnacentral:tRNA from 1 species